rnacentral:rRNA from 1 species
UACGUAGGUGGCAAGCGUUGUCCGGAUUUAUUGGGUUUAAAGGGUGCGUAGGUGGUCUAUUAAGUCAGUGCUGAAAUAUCCCGGCUUAACCGGGAGGGUGGCAUUGAUACUGAUGGACUUGAGUAAAGUUGAGGUAGGCGGAAUUGACGGUGUAGCGGUGAAAUGCUUAGAUAUCGUCAAGAACACCUAUAGCGAAGGCAGCUUACUAAGCUUUAACUGACGCUGAGGCACGAAAGCGUGGGGAGCAAACAGG